rnacentral:snRNA from 1 species
GGCUUUGCACAGUGGCAGUAUCAUAACCAAUGAAGUUUAUCUGAGGCAUGAUAAAUGUUAAUUCAAAAGUAUCUUUAAAUGCACAGAUGAACUAAGAAGUGAGGGAAGUCCCCAGAAAUACAAGAAAGCACAAACCCAGCAAGGGCAGUAAAUACUGAAACACAGCAUCCUGA